GACGAACGCUGGCGGCGUGCUUAACACAUGCAAGUCGAACGGAAAGGCCCUGCUUUUGUGGGGUGCUCGAGUGGCGAACGGGUGAGUAACACGUGAGUAACCUGCCCUUGACUUUGGGAUAACUUCAGGAAACUGGGGCUAAUACCGGAUAGGAGCUCCUGCUGCAUGGUGGGGGUUGGAAAGUUUCGGCGGUUGGGGAUGGACUCGCGGCUUAUCAGCUUGUUGGUGGGGUAGUGGCUUACCAAGGCUUUGACGGGUAGCCGGCCUGAGAGGGUGACCGGGCACAGUGGGACUGAGGUACGGCCCAGACGCCGACGGGCGGCAGAAGUGGGGAAUAUUGCACAGUGGGCGGAAGCCUGAUGCAGCGACGCCGCGUGCGGGAUGAGGGCCUUCGGGUGGUAAACAGCUGUCGCCUGUGACGAAGCGUGAGUGACGGUAAUGGGUAAAGAAGCACCGGCUAACUACGUG
rnacentral:rRNA from 1 species